rnacentral:rRNA from 1 species
AGCAGCCGCGGUAAUUCCAGCUCCAAUAGCGUAUAUUAAAGUUGUUGCAGUUAAAAAGCUCGUAGUUGAAUUUCGGGAUUGGCGCAUCGGUCGUGCCUCACGGGGUAUGAACUGGUGCAGUCAAUUUCUCACCUUCUGGAGAACCGCGAUGUCCUUAAUUGGAUGCCGCGGGGAACCAGGACCUUUACUUUGAAAAAAUUAGAGUGUUUAAAGCAGGCAUUUUUACUUGAAUACAUUAGCAUGGAAUAAUAAAAUAGGACGGCAUGGUUCUAUUUUGUUGGUUUCUAGGACCACCGUAAUGAUUAAUAGGGAUAGUUGGGGGCAUUAGUAUUCAAUUGUCAGAGGUGAAAUUCUUGGAUUUAUUGAAGACUAACUACUGCGAAAGCAUUUGCCAAGGAUGUUUUCAUUAAUCAAGAACGAAAGUUAGGGGAUCGAAGACGAUCAGAUACCGUCGUAGUCUUAACCAUAAACUAUGCCGACUAGGGAUCGGAUGAUGUUAAUUUUUUUAAUGUACUCAUUC